GAUGAACGCUAGCGGCAGGCCUAAUACAUGCAAGACGAACGGCAAGAUUGGUAGCAAUAUUGAUCCUAGAGUGUCGUAAGGGUGCGUAACACGUAUGCAAUCUGCCCUCAACAGGAGAAUAGCUCGGGGAAACUCGAAUUAACACUCCAUAAUAUAAACUGGUGGCAUCAUCAGAUUAUUAAAACUACGGUGGUUGAGGAUGAGCAUGCGCAUGAUUAGCUAGUUGGCGGGGUAAUGGCCCACCAAGGCGAUGAUCAUUAGGGGAACUGAGAGGUUGAUCCCCCACACUGGCACUGAGAUACGGGCCAGACUCCUACGGGAGGCAGCAGUAGGGAAUAUUGGACAAUGGGUGCGAGCCUGAUCCAGCCAUGCCGCGUGCAGGAAGAAGGCUUUCUGAGUUGUAAACUGCUUUUGCCAGGGGAUAAAAAGCCCAUGCGUGGGAAAUUGAAGGUACCUGGUGAAUAAGCCACGGCUAACUACGUGCCAGCAGCCGCGGUAAUACGUAGGUGGCAAGCGUUGUCCGGAUUUAUUGGGUUUAAAGGGUGCGUAGGCGGUUCUAUAAGUCAGUGGUGAAAUCCGGCAGCUCAACUGUCGAUGUGCCAUUGAUACUGUAGAACUUGAGUACUGAUGAGGUAGGCGGAAUUGACGGUGUAGCGGUGAAAUGCUUAGAUAUCGUCAAGAACACCGAUAGCGAAGGCAGCUUACUAAGGAGUAACUGACGCUGAUGCACGAAAGUGUGGGGAUCAAACAGGAUUAGAUACCCUGGUAGUCCACACUGUAAACGAUGAUUACUCGAUGUUGGCGAUACACAGCCAGCGUCUUAGCGAAAGCGAUAAGUAAUCCACCUGGGGAGUACGCCGGCAACGGUGAAACUCAAAGGAAUUGACGGG
rnacentral:rRNA from 1 species